UUCUCAAACCAGUAAUCAGUAUGCUGUAACUUGUUCCAUGGAUCGUAUUCAAAUGCAACAGCUGAAGUAGGUGACCACUUAGCAUGUUCUUUAGCUAUACCCUUCUUGGCAAUGCAACGCAGAGAAAUUUCCUGCUCUUUUCUGAGUUUGCAAAUAAGCGGUCCGCGUGAUUUUGGAUCGGCGAGAAUAGGGUGUCCAAGAGAAGAGUUAGAAGAAACAACAAGAUCUCUAGCAUAAAUUUCCAUCGUACCCUCACCAGUACAUUUGGCAUUUAGGAACAACUCGACUGAACACUUGGGACAAUACUGAUCGCAAUCGCAAUUGCGCGUAUAUUCCAAACCUACUGGAGGCGGUUCAUCGAUGUUGGAGCUAUCCAGAGGUAUCAUACCAAGACGAUGUGCUAGAAACUCAUCAGGCAUGACUGAGGUAUUCACAUUAAUUUCAACUAGGUCAAUGGCUAAAACAUCAUUAGUAUUUAAUUCAAGAAUGAACCUAAAUCUUACCCACUGUUGGAAUCUCUGCAAGUACAACACGUCGCAGCGAGUUUGCAACUCUUUCAACUAUUAGAAGGAAUUUCCUAGAGCUUUUCACUUACGCCAAACUUGUAUUUGUAAGGACAAAAUCCACCGAGUUUUUACUUAUAUUUCGUAUCGUAAUAUGCGUUUCUGAAUCCAUAAUGAGAAUGUGUCGUUUGGUCUAUGCUUGUUGCAGAAUUUCAUACUCAUUUCUCCCAUUCCGCACUGUUAGGUGAUCCC